rnacentral:snRNA from 1 species
GGGAACUGCGAGAGCUCUUAG